rnacentral:rRNA from 1 species
CCCUUAGAUGUUCUGGGCCGCACGCGCGCUACAAUGAGGUGCUCAGCGCGCUUUUCCCCCUCCGAAAGGAGCGGGUAACCGUUUGAAACCCCUUCUCGAUUGGGAUCGGGGGUUGCAAUUAUUCCCCGUGAACGAGGAAUUCCUAGUAAGCGCGAGCCAUUAGCUCGCGUUGAUUACGUCCCUGCCCUUUGUACACACCGCCCGUCGCUACUACCGAUUGAAUGAUCCAGUGAGGGUAUUGGACUGGCGCCUCGAGUCUUCCUCGCGAAGACUCUCGACGGUCGACGGAAAGAUAUCCGAACUUGGUCAUUUAGAGGAAGUAAAAGUCGUAACA